AAUAGAUACCCCGGUAGUCCACGCCGUAAACGAUGGAUGCUAGCUGUUAUGCGUAUCGACCCGUGUAGUAGCGAAGCUAACGCGUUAAGCAUCCCGCCUGGGGAGUACGAACGCAAGUUUAAAACUCAAAGGAAUUGACGGGGACCCGCACAAGCGGUGGAGCGUGUUCUUUAAUUCGAGGCUAAGCGAAGAACCUUACCAGGGCUUGACAUCCUUGGAAUUUCUCCGAAAGGAGAGAGUACUUUAUUGGACCAAGUGACAGGUGCUGCAUGGCCGUCGUCAGCUCGUGUCGUGAGAUGUUUGGUUAAGUCCAUUAACGAGCGCAACCCUUAUGAAUAGUUGUAUUUUUCUAUUCAGACUGCCCGGUAACGGGGAGGAAGGGGGGGAUGAUGUCAGGUCAGUAUUGCCCUUACGCCCUGGGCUAGAAACGCGCUACAAUGGCCGGUACAAUGCGCUGCCAACCCGCGAGGGGGAGCAAAUCGCAUCAAAGCCGGUCCCAGUUCGGAUAAGAGGCUGAAACUCGCCUCUUUGAAGCCGGAAUCGCUAGUAAUCGU
rnacentral:rRNA from 1 species